CUAUUUCUCCCCGUUGGAUAACAGCCCACAAUCCCCCAUUUUCAAUCCCUUCCCAAGUCUCCUUCCUCCUCCUCCUCCUCCUCCGCCUCCGCCCAUCGCCGGAUGGAAGCUUCUCCGAUAUACUGUCUUCCCAAUGACACUUUCCAUCAGAUCUUCCUAUCCCUCCCUCUCCGUCAAAUUAUGAUCUGCCGUUGCGUCUGCAAGCAGUUCGACCAAAUUAUCUCAUCCCCUUUCUUCAUUGACCUCAUCUCCAUCCGUCCCCCUCUUCACCUCAUCGCCCUUCGGCCGCCGCACCACCACCACCACCACCACCACAGUCACGAGCGCCUCUCUGCCGCCGCCGCCAAUUCUUGUCUCCACGUCUAUGACCCUGAUCAGAAUCAGUGGCUUCGUUUCUCCCUCGAUUUUUUGCCCUUUCGAUUCCCUCACCCUGUCGCGUCCUCUCUCGGUCUUGUAUAUCUCUGGGGCGACUCGCCGGAGUCUCCUGAGUCGAAUAAGUCGCUUGUAGUUUGUAACCCUUUGACUCGCCAGUUCCGGGUCUUGCCGCAGCUCGGCUCGGCCUGGUCUCGACAUGGGUCGGUUUUGGUUGACUCUGCUAAUAGAGUAAUGGUUUUGACGGAGCUUGCGGCUCUUUAUUUCUCUGGGUCGAAUCAGUGGAGUAAAUUCUCUUCUAACCUGCCUUCGAAACCUCGAAGCCCUGUGUUGGUUUCUAACUCGGUUUAUGCUCUUUGUGAUGUGGGUUCUCCGUGGAGAAGCCAAUGGAAGUUGUUUGCUUGUACUAUUACUGAUCUCAAGAGCUCCCAGAAUUGGGGUCGGCUUGAAAGGCACGAAUGGGGGGAUGUUUUUGACAUUUUGAAACGGCCUCGUUUGGUCCGAGGGACGGGGAACCAAAUCUUGAUGGUGGGUGGGCUCAAAUCGUCGUUUUCGUUGACUGCUUCGUGCUCGACGAUUCUGAUUUUAAGGUUGGAUUUGGAUACAUUGGAGUGGGAUGAGGCGGGUCGUAUGCCUGUUCAGAUGUUUCAGUGCUUUCAAGGGUCAAGUAAGUUUAAGGUUUUUGGUGGUGGUGAUCGGAUUUGCUUUUCGGCGAAGAGAAUGGGGAUGAUGGCAUUGUGGGAUCGUUGUUCUGGAAAAGCAGAGUGGCGGUGGAUAUGUGGGGUGCCUGGAUAUAGCGAUGGGCUUUACAGAGGAUUCGUGUUCGAGGCAAGGUUCACGGCCCUGCUGUCUUAAGUUGCCUGCCUAGACGUGGUUUGCUUGCUAAGUAAAAGUAGUGUCGAAAAGGGGUGGAGGUUGUGAGAUAGGCCCUUUGUACCAUCGACAAUCCAAAAUUCGAGUUGGCUGACUUCUCAAGAGCGAAAUUAUUCAUCAAAAAGGAAGAAAAAAGAAUUUAUGGAGUAGGAUGUCUUCGAUGGAAUCACUAGUCUUCAAAUACCACAGCUCCCGACCCUCAUGGUUCCUCUUCUAAAUUCUUGAAAAGUUUGCACAACACCUACAUGUUUGAGAGCAUGACGAUGUUCUGUAUUUUUACUUUUAUUUUUGCAGAAAGACAUCUCUAAUGCCAUUAUCAACGAGGGGUUCUCUCUUUUUCCCCCAAAAGUGGAUACCAAAAAUGUAAAGAUUACACUACUAACUAGUGGUCCCUGUAAAACCGUGACUAUAAGGUGAUUGUUGAGAGGAUGAAGGCAAUUUUGCCCCAAGUGACUAUCGAACUUGUAAUGCUUUUGUAAGAGAUCAACAAAUGAUAUACUCCACUGAAAUGGCCGAUAAAGCUGUUGAGGAUUGGAAAAGAAGGAAAAAGCUAAGGAGUUAUUAUAAAAAUUGACCUCGAGAAAGCUUACAACCUUGUUGAUGGAGAAUAGUUGAAUGGUGUUAGGAAAGCAUGAGGACACAUUUUCUUUAUAUGUAUAAAUUUGGGUUUAUGUUGGCAUGUGGUUGAUGCAUUCCUCUUUUUGAACGGGUGGUGGGAGGGUCUCCAUUAGGAUUGCCUUAUAAUGCUUUCGUACUUGAGUGUAAAGAUUUGAAGGAUCAUCUUGGGGUUUGGACCAAGGAAGUGUUUGACCAUGUCCAUUGAAAAGCCGCGGUGACUUAAAAAUCAAGGAAGGGUAUUGAUGUCAUGGAAGAGAGCUGGGAAUCACAAAUGACCAUUGUGAUGCAUGCAAGGCCCUUUGGUUGGAACUUUUGGAUAUCACGAACAAGGUAUCUAUUGGUCCCCAAAGAUUAGACACUGAGCAAGGAUUACACGAAAGAUCAUAAAACUAAAAGCUUAAUAUGGUUCAAGCGUCUGCUGGGGAGUUGUCUUGGUUUCAACUGAUUUCAAACUCACAAGUAGAUGUAGAUAGUAAAGAAGGGGGGAUGUUCUUGCUGUAAAGGAUGUUGAGGUUGAUUUUUCCUUUGAUUUUAAGCUCCCUAAAUUUGGUGAAGGGUUUCUUGAUGGGAAGUGACAAAUCACUCUCAAUCAUCUCAAGCUUGUGAAUGACAUCUUGAUUUUCAGCUAAGAAGAGGUAGAGAAGUUCGGAAGUGAUUCAGAGCUAAAAUCAAUUGGGAGAAGACAACUAUCAAUGGCAUAGAGAUAGAUCCUAAUUCCGUUCUAUUCAUUGUGAAUGACAUCUUGCUUUCUAUUAAGCAUUCACUAAUUCCGUUCUAUUCAUUGUAGCUUUCUUAUCGAACCCACUGCUAGAAGGCAACGCAAAGAUUGUUUGUUUGUUGGCAAGUUAAGGACUCGAGCACUCCCAACUUGAGUGACUGCGUGAAGCUGGAUUGUGGUGAGCUGCCCUUCAAAUAUAUUGCAGGAUCGGAGAACAGAUUCCUGCUUGGGGAAUAGAUUCUAGCAUGGCUCGGCUUGACUUGACUCGACUCGAAUUAUAUGGUUUGCAAUGGAAGUUUUUAGCCAGCCCAGAGGCUUCUGAGAGUCGACGAGGGAGAAUUUCUAAGCUAUUUGAGUGUGCCUCCUGUAUCUGCUUCUUUCAGACAAAUAUAAAAUGAAAGCUUUGGUGAGAGGUUUAACCCCAUAGAUUAAUUGGUAUUUAUUGGUAUUUAUUGGUAUUUAUUGGCAUUUAUUGGCAUUGGCUUUAGUUGUUGUAUACAUGUAGAUAUGCCACGGAAGUUACUGAACUUUCAUAUACAUCUAUUACCAAAUGAUAUGCAAGGAAUUGAAUUUGAUGGCGCUUGAUGUUA